UUUCUUUUCCUCUCUGGCUCCCUCUCUCUCUCGAGAUUCAUUCUCUCAUCUUCUUUCACUCUCAUCUCUUCCAUCUCUAUACGUUUGAAAUCUCACCAACUCUCUCAUGUCUCACUUUUCAGAUAUGGUUAACUGAGAAAGGAUGGAGAUGAUAAUGUAGACGACGAAGACAGGGACUCGCUGGGACGAAGCGCCGAGGCUCACCGGAGAAGAAGACGCGCCGGAGUAGAUGAGACGGAGAAGAUGAUGUUUGGUGGUGGUGCAUAGGUCCGAGGAAGAGGUAGAAGAAGAAGAGGGGAAGGCGACGAGUUUCGUCGCUUCGGCGGUAGAUCUCGAAGAAGAUGGAUGAUACGGGGCUUCAGGGAGACGACCAUGAUGGCGGCGUGGAGAAGGUUCAAGUUCCGGUGUGCUGGAGCUCUUGUGAUGUACUCUCGGUGGAGGGAGGCGGCGGCAGUGACAUUAUAUUUUUUAAUUAAAUUUUAUUGUUAACUAGAUUUGUUUAGUUUUGUAAAUCUGUUUUAUUGUAAACCGGCCAAUUGUAAACCGAUUAAAUUUAUAAAACAAAUUUCUAUUUGGUUAA